UCGGGAACUCUGAGACAGGUGCUGCAUGGCUGUCGUCAGCUCGUGUUGUGAAAUGUUGGGUUAAGUCCCGCAACGAGCGCAACCCUUAUCCUUUGUUGCCAGCGGUCCGGCCGGGAACUCAAAGGAGACUGCCAGUGAUAAACUGGAGGAAGGUGGGGAUGACGUCAAGUCAUCAUGGCCCUUACGAGUAGGGCUACACACGUGCUACAAUGGCGCAUACAAAGAGAAGCGACCUCGCGAGAGCAAGCGGACCUCAUAAAGUGCGUCGUAGUCCGGAUUGGAGUCUGCAACUCGACUCCAUGAAGUCGGAAUCGCUAGUAAUCGUAGAUCAGAAUGCUACGGUGAAUACGUUCCCGGGUCUUGUACAC
rnacentral:rRNA from 1 species